rnacentral:rRNA from 18 species
CCAAUCAAACUUGGAGAUAGCUCGUACUCCCCGAAAUAUAUUUAGGUAUAGCGUCUGGUUUUGUCUGUCCGGAGGUAGAGCACUGAUUAGGCUAGGGCCCUUCACCGGGUACCAACCCUAGACAAACUCCGAAUGCCGGCACAGAGCCACCAGGCAGUCAGUGGCAGGGUGAUAACGUCCUGUCGCGAGAGGGAAACAACCCAGACCACCAGCUAAGGCCCCUAAAUAACAGCUAAGUUGAUCAAAGAAAGUUGAGUUGCUCAGACAACUAGGAGGUUGGCUUAGAAGCAGCCAUUCCUUUAAAGAGUGCGUAAUAGCUCACUAGUCAAGCGACUCGGCGUCGAUAAUAAGCGGGCAUAAGCUGUUUGCCGAAGCUGUGGGAAUGAAAAUUCGGUAGGGGAGCAUUCCAGUUGCAUCGAAGGUGUCCUGCGAGGGAUGUUGGAGCGGCUGGAAGCGAAACUGUAGGCAUGAGUAACGAUAAGAAGGGUGAAAAACCCUUCCACCGUAAACCCAAGGGUUCCUGAUCAACGCUAAUCGGAUCAGGGUUAGUCGAGUCCUAAGGUGUACCCGGUGUUGCCGGGGAAGCUGAUGGCAAAGCGGUUAAAUAUUCCGCUACCUCGAUGGACGUUAGGCUAAGGCGUGACGCAGAAGUGAAACUCCCGCGUGCUGACGAAUGCACGUUAAAGGGCGUAGGCCGGAAAGCAGGCAAAUCCGCUUUCCGUUAAGGCUGAACCCCGACAGUACCCGGAUUCUCACGAUGAAGGGAUAGUGGAGGUAAUCAUGCUGCCAAGAAAAGCGUCGUAGUUUGUCCAACGAGCUCGUACCCCAAACCGACACAGGUGGGUGAGGAGAGUAUCCUAAGGUGCUCGAGUAAUUCAUGGCUAAGGAACUAGGCAAAUUAGAUCCGUAACUUCGGGAGAAGGAUCCCCUGACUUUGUCAGGGCGCAGUGAAAAGGCCCAAGCGACUGUUUACCAAAAACACAUGUCUCUGCUAAGCCGCAAGGCGAUGUAUAGGGACUGACACCUGCCCGGUGCUGGAAGGUUAAGGAAGGGAGUUAGCCUCGGCGAAGCUCUUAACUGAAGCCCCAGUAAACGGCGGCCGUAACUAUAACGGU